rnacentral:rRNA from 1 species
UACGGAGGGGGCUAGCGUUGUUCGGAAUUACUGGGCGUAAAGCGCGCGUAGGCGGACCUGCAAGUCGGGGGGUGAAAGCCCGAGGCUCAACCUCGGAACUGCCUUCGAUACUGCGGGUCUCGAGUCCGGGAGAGGUGAGUGGAAUUCCUAGUGUAGAGGUGAAAUUCGUAGAUAUUAGGAAGAACACCAGUGGCGAAGGCGGCUCACUGGCCCGGUACUGACGCUGAGGCGCGAAAGCCAGGGGAGCGAACGGGG